rnacentral:rRNA from 1 species
AUUGAACGCUGGCGGCAGGCCUAACACAUGCAAGUCGAGCGGAUGAAGGGAGCUUGCUCCUGGAUUCAGCGGCGGACGGGUGAGUAAUGCCUAUGAAUCUGCCUGGUAGUGGGGGAUAACGUCCGGAAACGGGCGCUAAUACCGCAUACGUCCUGAGGGAGAAAGUGGGGGAUCUUCGGACCUCACGCUAUCAGAUGAGCCUAGGUCGGAUUAGCUAGUUGGUGGGGUAAGGGCCUACCAAGGCGACGAUCCGUAACUGGUCUGAGAGGAUGAUCAGUCACACUGGAACUGAGACACGGUCCAGACUCCUACGGGAGGCAGCAGAGGGGAAUAUUGGACAAUGGGCGAAAGCCUGAUCCAGCCAUGCCGCGUGUGUGAAGAAGGUCUUCGGAUUGUAAAGCACUUUAAGUUGGGAGGAAGGGCAGUAAGUUAAUACCUUGCUGUUUUGACGUUACCAACAGAAUAAGCACCGGCUAACUUCGUG